UUAAGCGACUAAGCGUACACGGUGGAUGCCCUGGCAGUCAGAGGCGAUGAAGGACGUGCUAAUCUGCGAAAAGCGUCGGUAAGGUGAUAUGAACCGUUAUAACCGGCGAUGUCCGAAUGGGGAAACCCAGUGCAAUUCGUUGCACUAUCGUUAACUGAAUACAUAGGUUAACGAGGCGAACCGGGGGAACUGAAACAUCUAAGUACCCCGAGGAAAAGAAAUCAACCGAGAUUCCCCCAGUAGCGGCGAGCGAACGGGGAGCAGCCCAGAGUCUGAAUCAGCUUGUGUGUUAGUGGAACGGUCUGGAAAGUCCGACGGUACAGGGUGAUAGUCCCGUACACCAAAAUGCACAGGCUGUGAACUCGAAGAGUAGGGCGGGACACGUGGUAUCCUGUCUGAAUAUGGGGGGACCAUCCUCCAAGGCUAAAUACUCCUGACUGACCGAUAGUGAACCAGUACCGUGAGGGAAAGGCGAAAAGAACCCCGGCGAGGGGAGUGAAAAAGAACCUGAAACCGUGUACGUACAAGCAGUGGGAGCACCUUCGGGUGUGACUGCGUACCUUUUGUAUAAUGGGUCAGCGACUUAUAUUCUGUAGCAAGGUUAACCGUAUAGGGGAGCCGCAGGGAAACCGAGUCUUAACUGGGCGUUAAGUUGCAGGGUAUAGACCCGAAACCCGGUGAUCUAGCCAUGGGCAGGUUGAAGGUUGGGUAACACUAACUGGAGGACCGAACCGACUAAUGUUGAAAAAUUAGCGGAUGACUUGUGGCUGGGGGUGAAAGGCCAAUCAAACCGGGAGAUAGCUGGUUCUCCCCGAAAGCUAUUUAGGUAGCGCCUCGUGAACUCAUCUUCGGGGGUAGAGCACUGUUUCGGCUAGGGGGUCAUCCCGACUUACCAACCCGAUGCAAACUACGAAUACCGAAGAAUGUUAUCACGGGAGACACACGGCGGGUGCUAACGUCCGUCGUGAAGAGGGAAACAACCCAGACCGCCAGCUAAGGUCCCAAAGUCAUGGUUAAGUGGGAAACGAUGUGGGAAGGCACAGACAGCCAGGAUGUUGGCUUAGAAGCAGCCAUCAUUUAAAGAAAGCGUAAUAGCUCACUGGUCGAGUCGGCCUGCGCGGAAGAUGUAACGGGGCUAAACCAUGCACCGAAGCUGCGGCAGCGACACUAUGUGUUGUUGGGUAGGGGAGCGUUCUGUAAGCCUGCGAAGGUGACCUGUGAGGGUUGCUGGAGGUAUCAGAAGUGCGAAUGCUGACAUAAGUAACGAUAAAGCGGGUGAAAAGCCCGCUCGCCGGAAGACCAAGGGUUCCUGUCCAACGUUAAUCGGGGCAGGGUGAGUCGACCCCUAAGGCGAGGCCGAAAGGCGUAGUCGAUGGGAAACAGGUUAAUAUUCCUGUACUUGGUGUUACUGCGAAGGGGGGACGGAGAAGGCUAUGUUAGCCGGGCGACGGUUGUCCCGGUUUAAGCAUGUAGGCUGAUUGUCCAGGCAAAUCCGGAUAAUCAAGGCUGAGGUGUGAUGACGAGGCACUACGGUGCUGAAGUAACAAAUGCCCUGCUUCCAGGAAAAGCCUCUAAGCAUCAGGUAACAUCAAAUCGUACCCCAAACCGACACAGGUGGUCAGGUAGAGAAUACCAAGGCGCUUGAGAGAACUCGGGUGAAGGAACUAGGCAAAAUGGUGCCGUAACUUCGGGAGAAGGCACGCUGGUGUGUAGGUGAAGCCCCUGCGGGUGGAGCUGAGACCAGUCGAAGAUACCAGCUGGCUGCAACUGUUUAUUAAAAACACAGCACUGUGCAAACACGAAAGUGGACGUAUACGGUGUGACGCCUGCCCGGUGCCGGAAGGUUAAUUGAUGGGGUUAUCCGUAAGGAGAAGCUCUUGAUCGAAGCCCCGGUAAACGGCGGCCGUAACUAUAACGGUCCUAAGGUAGCGAAAUUCCUUGUCGGGUAAGUUCCGACCUGCACGAAUGGCGUAAUGAUGGCCAGGCUGUCUCCACCCGAGACUCAGUGAAAUUGAACUCGCUGUGAAGAUGCAGUGUACCCGCGGCAAGACGGAAAGACCCCGUGAACCUUUACUAUAGCUUGACACUGAACAUUGAGCCUUGAUGUGUAGGAUAGGUGGGAGGCUUUGAAGCGUGGACGCCAGUCUGCGUGGAGCCAACCUUGAAAUACCACCCUUUAAUGUUUGAUGUUCUAACGUUGGCCCCUGACCGGGGUUGCGGACAGUGUCUGGUGGGUAGUUUGACUGGGGCGGUCUCCUCCCAAAGCGUAACGGAGGAGCACGAAGGUUAGCUAAUCCUGGUCGGACAUCAGGAGGUUAGUGCAAUGGCAUAAGCUAGCUUGACUGCGAGCGUGACGGCGCGAGCAGGUGCGAAAGCAGGUCAUAGUGAUCCGGUGGUUCUGAAUGGAAGGGCCAUCGCUCAACGGAUAAAAGGUACUCCGGGGAUAACAGGCUGAUACCGCCCAAGAGUUCAUAUCGACGGCGGUGUUUGGCACCUCGAUGUCGGCUCAUCACAUCCUGGGGCUGAAGUAGGUCCCAAGGGUAUGGCUGUUCGCCAUUUAAAGUGGUACGCGAGCUGGGUUUAGAACGUCGUGAGACAGUUCGGUCCCUAUCUGCCGUGGGCGCUGGAGAAUUGAGGGGGGCUGCUCCUAGUACGAGAGGACCGGAGUGGACGCAUCACUGGUGUUCGGGUUGUCAUGCCAAUGGCACUGCCCGGUAGCUAAAUGCGGAAGAGAUAAGUGCUGAAAGCAUCUAAGCACGAAACUUGCCCCGAGAUGAGUUCUCCCUGAGACUUUAAGUCUCCUGAAGGAACGUUGAAGACGACGACGUUGAUAGGCCGGGUGUGUAAGCGCAGCGAUGCGUUGAGCUAACCGGUACUAAUGAACCGUGAGGCUUAACCUU
rnacentral:rRNA from 1 species